rnacentral:lncRNA from 1 species
CUUCUCAUCUAUCUCUCUUUUCUAGCUUCUGAACCAACUCCAUCUCCUCUCUUCCAUCUUGCUCGACUCCAACUCCAUCUAAGAUCCACGCCUCUAACUGCAGGUCAAAAAGCACAAAUCUUCUCAGCCCAAUAUCAAACUCAGGUAAAAAAAAUGCAGUAAGCAUGGAUUCAACCUAAAAAAUCUCACCCUGUCAAGGAAGUGUUAAAUACCAAUUCAGCAACACAGGUUCCAGGAGCACCAAGGGACUUAGCCUCUAGAUCUCCAUGAAGCUACCACCACAGAAAAAUAAGAAACAUAAGCCAUUCAUACGACAACUCAAAAUUCAAA